rnacentral:rRNA from 1 species
AGGGAAUAUUGGUCAAUGGGUGAGAGCCUGAACCAGCCAUGCCGCGUGCAGGAAGAAGGCCUUCUGGGUCGUAAACUGCUUUUGCCGGGGGAUAAAAAGCCCAUGCGUGGGAACUUGAAGGUACCCGGUGAAUAAGCCACGGCUAACUACGUGCCAGCAGCCGCGGUAAUACGUAGGUGGCAAGCGUUGUCCGGAUUUAUUGGGUUUAAAGGGUGCGUAGGCGGUCCAGUAAGUCAGUGCUGAAAUAUCCCGGCUUAACCGGGAGGGUGGCAUUGAUACUGCAGGACUUGAGUAAAGUUGAGGUAGGCGGAAUUGACGGUGUAGCGGUGAAAUGCUUAGAUAUCGUCAAGAACACCGAUAGUGUAGACAGCUUACUAAGCUUUAACUGACGCUGAGGCACGAAAGUGUGGGGAUCAAA